rnacentral:snRNA from 1 species
CUGGUCUUGUUAAUGCAU